rnacentral:rRNA from 1 species
GAAUCUGCUGACAGGUGGUUAUGCUCGAAAGAGAACCGGCGCCAGGGGCGUAAUGGCUGUCGUCAGCUCGUGUCGUGAGAUGUUGGGUUAAGUCCCGCAACGAGUUUCAACCCUUGUNGCUUAGUUGCUACGCAAGAGCACUCUAAGGAGACUGCCGGUGACAAACCUGAGAAGUGGGAUGACGUCAAGUCCUCAUGGCCCUUAUGGUAGGGCUUCACACGUCAUACAAUGGUCGGAACAGACGGUUGCCAACCCCUCCUNCUACGACNGAUCCCAAUUUUUCGAUCUUAUCCGAUUGCACUCUGCAACUCGAGUGCAUGAACUGAAUCCUAUAAUCGCGAUCACAUGCC